UUUAAUUGAAGAGUUUGAUCAUGGCUCAGAUUGAACGCUGGCGGCAGGCCUAACACAUGCAAGUCGAGCGGUAACAGAUUGAUAGCUUGCUAUCAAUGCUGACGAGCGGCGGACGGGUGA
rnacentral:rRNA from 2 species